AUUGAACGCUGGCGGCAGGCCUAACACAUGCAAGUCGAGCGGAUGAAGGGAGCUUGCUCCUGGAUUCAGCGGCGGACGGGUGAGUAAUGCCUAGGAAUCUGCCUGGUAGUGGGGGAUAACGUCCGGAAACGGGCGCUAAUACCGCAUACGUCCUGAGGGAGAAAGUGGGGGAUCUUCGGACCUCACGCUAUCAGAUGAGCCUAGGUCGGAUUAGCUAGUUGGUGGGGUAAAGGCCUACCAAGGCGACGAUCCGUAACUGGUCUGAGAGGAUGAUCAGUCACACUGGAACUGAGACACGGUCCAGACUCCUACGGGAGGCAGCAGUGGCGAAUAUUGGACAAUGGGCGAAAGCCUGAUCCAGCCAUGCCGCGUGUGUGAAGAAGGUCUUCGGAUUGUAAAGCACUUUAAGUUGGGAGGAAGGGCAGUAAGUUAAUACCUUGCUGUUUUGACGUUACCAACAGAAUAAGCACCGGCUAACUUCGUG
rnacentral:rRNA from 1 species